ACACGCUUGGCAUUCUCUCAACCAGCUUCAGCUGGAAUGUAUUUUCCAACAGUACCAAACUUUUGACUGGUACUGUAUAUACAAAAAAAUGAAAUCAGCUUUUUUUGUGACAUCUCUUUCUGUGCUGACCGAAGACAUUACAUUUUUCACAUUGUUCCUCUUCAUCAGGGACUGGUUUAGACCUGGGACACCAGGUGGGUGAUAUGAAUUACCAGGUAGAAGAGGACUGGUUUAGACCUGGGACACCAGGUGGGUGAUAUGAAUUACCAGGUAGAAGAGGACUGGUUUAGACCUGGGACACCAGGUGGGUGAUAUGAAUUACCAGGUAGAAGAGGACUGGUUUAGACCUGGGACACCAGGUAGAAGAGGACUGGUUUAGACCUGGGACACCAGGUAGAAGAGGACUGGUUUAGACCUGGGACACCAGGUGGGUGAUGUGAAUUACCAGGUAGAAGAGGACUGGUUUAGACCUGGGACACCAGGUGGAUGAUAUGAAUUACCAGGUAGAAGAGGACUGGUUUAGACCUGGGACACCAGGUAGAAGAGGACUGGUUUAGACCUGGGACACCAGGUGGGUGAUGUGAAUUACCAGGUAGAAGAGGACUGGUUUAGACCUGGGACACCAGGUGGAUGAUAUGAAUUACCAGGUAGAAGAGGACUGGUUUAGACCUGGGACACCAGGUGAGUGAUAUGAAUUACCAGGUAGAAGAGGACUGGUUUAGACCUGGGACACCAGGUGGGUGAUAUGAAUUACCAGGUAGAAGAGGACUGGUUUAGACCUGGGACACCAGGUGGAUGAUAUGAAUUACCAGGUAGAAGAGGACUGGUUUAGACCUGGGACACCAGGUGGGUGAUAUGAAUUACCAGGUAGAAGAGGACUGGUUUAGACCUGGGACACCAGGUGGGUGAUAUGAAUUACCAGGUAGAAGAGGACUGGUUUAGACCUGGGACACCAGGUGGGUGAUAUGAAUUACCAGGUAGAAGAGGACUGGUUUAGACCUGGGACACCAGGUAGAAGAGGACUGGUUUAGACCUGGGACACCAGGUAGAAGAGGACUGGUUUAGACCUGGGACACCAGGUGGGUGAUGUGAAUUACCAGGUAGAAGAGGUCUGGUUUAGACCUGGGACACCAGGUGGAUGAUAUGAAUUACCAGGUAGAAGAGGAAACCAGCAGCCUCUGAACCUGGUAAGGGGUAAGAGUUGAAUAUCUCUGUUCUAAUAAAAGGUUCACCUCUCGUCUGUUCG